CCGAAUUCGUCGACAACAGAGUUUGAUCCUGGCUCAGGAUGAACGCUGGCGGCGUGCCUAAUACAUGCAAGUCGAGCGAACAGAUAAGGAGCUUGCUCCUUUGAAGUUAGCGGCGGACGGGUGAGUAACACGUGGGUAACCUACCUAUAAGACUGGGAUAACUUCGGGAAACCGGAGCUAAUACCGGAUAGCAUUUAGAACCGCAUGGUUCUAAAGUGAAAGAUGGUUUUGCUAUCACUUAUAGAUGGACCCGCGCCGUAUUAGCUAGUUGGUAAGGUAACGGCUUACCAAGGCGACGAUACGUAGCCGACCUGAGAGGGUGAUCGGCCACACUGGAACUGAGACACGGUCCAGACUCCUACGGGAGGCAGCAGUAGGGAAUCUUCCGCAAUGGGCGAAAGCCUGACGGAGCAACGCCGCGUGAGUGAUGAAGGGUUUCGGCUCGUAAAACUCUGUUAUUAGGGAAGAACAAAUGUGUAAGUAACUGUGCACAUCUUGACGGUACCUAAUCAGAAAGCCACGGCUAACUACGUGCCAGCAGCCGCGGUAAUACGUAGGUGGCAAGCGUUAUCCGGAAUUAUUGGGCGUAAAGCGCGCGUAGGCGGCUUCUUAAGUCUGAUGUGAAAGCCCACGGCUCAACCGUGGAGGGUCAUUGGAGACUGGGAAACUUGAGUGCAGAAGAGGAAAGUGGAAUUCCAUGUGUAGCGGUGAAAUGCGCAGAGAUAUGGAGGAACACCAGUGGCGAAGGCGA
rnacentral:rRNA from 1 species